rnacentral:rRNA from 1 species
AAAACUUUACAAUGCGGGAAACCGUGAUAAGGGGACACCGAGUGCUAGCAUCAUAUGCUGGCUGUCCAGGUGUGUAAAAUACACCUGUUAGCAAGGGCCGGGCAAGACCGGUGCCAGCCGCCGCGGUAACACCGGCGGCCCGAGUGGUGAUCGUGAUUAUUGGGUCUAAAGGGUCCGUAGCCGGUUUGGUCAGUCCUCCGGGAAAUCUGAUAGCUCAACUAUUAGGCUUUCGGGGGAUACUGCCAGACUUGGAACCGGGAGAGGUAAGAGGUACUACAGGGGUAGGAGUGAAAUCUUGUAAUCCCUGUGGGACCACCUGUGGCGAAGGCGUCUUACCAGAACGGGUUCGACGGUGAGGGACGAAAGCUGGGGGCACGAACCGGAUUAGAUACCCGGGUAGUCCCAGCCGUAAACGAUGCUCGCCAGGUGUCAGGCAUGGCGCGACCGUGUCUGGUGCCGCAGGGAAGCCGUGAAGCGAGCCACCUGGGAAGUACGGCCGCAAGGCUGAAACUUAAAGGAAUUGGCGGGGGAGCACAACAACGGGUGGAGCNUGCGGUUUAAUUGGACUCAACGCCGGACAACUCACCGGGGACGACAGCAAUAUGUAGGUCAGGCUGAAGACCUUACCUGAAUCGCUGAGAGGAGGUGCAUGGCCGUCGCCAGUUCGUACUGUGAAGCAUCCUGUUAAGUCAGGCAACGAGCGAGACCCGUGCCCACUGUUACCAGCAUAUCCUCCGGGAUGAUGGGUACUCUGUGGGGACCGCCGGUGUUAAAUCGGAGGAAGGUGCGGGCCACGGUAGGUCAGUAUGCCCCGAAUUUCCCGGGCUACACGCGGGCUACAAUGAAUGGGACAAUGGGUCCCUCCCCUGAAAAGGGCUGGUAAUCUCACAAACCCAUCCUUAGUUCGGAUCGAGGGCUGUAACUCGCCCUCGUGAAGCUGGAAUCCGUAGUAAUCGCGUUUCAAUAUAGCGCGGUGAAUACGUCCCUGCUCC